GAUCGUAAAACUCUGUUGUUAGAGAAGAACAAGGAUGAGAGUAACUGUUCAUCCCUUGACGGUAUCUAACCAGAAAGCCACGGCUAACUACGUGCCAGCAGCCGCGGUAAUACGUAGGUGGCAAGCGUUGUCCGGAUUUAUUGGGCGUAAAGCGAGCGCAGGCGGUUUCUUAAGUCUGAUGUGAAAGCCCCCGGCUCAACCGGGGAGGGUCAUUGGAAACUGGGAGACUUGAGUGCAGAAGAGGAGAGUGGAAUUCCAUGUGUAGCGGUGAAAUGCGUAGAUAUAUGGAGGAACACCAGUGGCGAAGGCGGCUCUCUGGUCUGUAACUGACGCUGAGGCUCGAAAGCGUGGGGAGCAAACAGGAUUAGAUACCCUGGUAGUCCACGCCGUAAACGAUGAGUGCUAAGUGUUGGAGGGUUUCCGCCCUUCAGUGCUGCAGCUAACGCAU
rnacentral:rRNA from 1 species